rnacentral:rRNA from 1 species
AUGGCGCCCAUCGUGAAGUUCGUCGUCGCCGCCGCCCUGAUAGUGCUCGCGGCCGUCGCUGGCCCCGGAGGCGUCGGCGUCGCCUCGGCCACCACCGGCGCUGCUGGCCCCGCGGCUGCGCCAUCGCCGGCCCCACUCGUCGCUCCCCUCCACCUCGCGCUCUCGGGCAUGGCGGCGGAGCAGCAGGGCGGCGGGUGGAUGAUGGAGUGCUGGGGCGCGAUCGUGCUCUUCUUCCUCAACGGCGAGUCCUACCUGGGCCGCGACUGCUGCAUCGCCAUCCGCACCAUCACGCUCCACUGCUGGCCCUCCAUGCUCGCCUCCAUAGGCUUGACCGCCCACGAGGCCGACAUCCUCCGUGGCUUCUGCGACGCCGAGAUCCCACACGCUCCUCCCCCGCCAGCGCCGGCCGUCGUGCCGGCGCCUGCUGCGCAACCAUGA